AGUUUGAUCCUGGCUCAGGAUGAACGCUGGCGGCGUGCCUAAUACAUGCAAGUCGAACGCGGGCACUUGUGCCCGAGUGGCGAACGGGUGAGUAAUACAUAAGUAACCUGGCCUUUACAGGGGGAUAACUGCUGGAAACGGCAGCUAAGACCGCAUAGGUAGGGACACUGCAUGGUGACCGUAUUAAAAGUGCUGCAAGGCACUGGUAGAGGAUGGACUUAUGGCGCAUUAGCUGGUUGGUGAGGUAACGGCUCACCAAGGCGACGAUGCGUAGCCGACCUGAGAGGGUGACCGGCCACACUGGGACUGAGACACGGCCCAGACUCCUACGGGAGGCAGCAGUAGGGAAUUUUCGGCAAUGGGGGGAACCCUGACCGAGCAACGCCGCGUGAAGGAAGAAGGAAUUCGUUCUGUAAACUUCUGUUAUAAAGGAAGAAAGACGGAUGGAGGAAAUGACAUCCGAGUGACGGUACUUUAUGAGAAAGCCACGGCUAACUACGUGCCAGCAGCCGCGGUAAUACGUAGGUGGCAAGCGUUAUCCGGAAUUAUUGGGCGUAAAGAGGGAGCAGGCGGCAGCAAAGGUCUGUGGUGAAAGACUGAAGCUUAACUUCAGUAAGCCAUAGAAACCGGGCAGCUAGAGUGCGGGAGAGGAUCGUGGAAUUCCAUGUGUAGCGGUGAAAUGCGUAGAUAUAUGGAGGAACACCAGUGGCGAAGGCGACGAUCUGGCCUGCAACUGACGCUCAGUCCCGAAAGCGUGGGGAGCAAAUAGGAUUAGAUACCCUAGUAGUCCACGCCGUAAACGAUGAGUACUAAGUGUUGGAAGUCAAAUUUCAGUGCUGCAGUUAACGCAGUAAGUACUCCGCCUGAGUAGUACGUUCGCAAGAAUGAAACUCAAAGGAAUUGACGGGGGCCCGCACAAGCGGUGGAGCAUGUGGUUUAAUUCGAAGCAACGCGAAGAACCUUACCAGGUCUUGACAUACUCAUAAAGGAUCCAGAGAUGGAUAGAUAGUUAUAUGAGAUACAGGUGGUGCAUGGUUGUCGUCAGCUCGUGUCGUGAGAUGUUGGGUUAAGUCCCGCAACGAGCGCAACCCUUGUCGUUAGUUACCAUCAUUAAGUUGGGGACUCUAGCGAGACUGCCAGUGACAAGCUGGAGGAAGGCGGGGAUGACGUCAAAUCAUCAUGCCCCUUAUGACCUGGGCUACACACGUGCUACAAUGGAUGGUGCAGAGGGAAGCGAAGCCGCGAGGCGAAGCAAAACCCAUAAAACCAUUCUCAGUUCGGAUUGUAGUCUGCAACUCGACUACAUGAAGUUGGAAUCGCUAGUAAUCGCGAAUCAGCAUGUCGCGGUGAAUACGUUCUCGGGCCUUGUACACACCGCCCGUCACACCAUGAGAGUUGAUAACACCCGAAGCCGGUGGCCUAACCGAAAGGAAGGAGCUGUCUAAGGUGGGAUUGAUGAUUGGGGUGAAGUCGUAACAAGGUAACC
rnacentral:rRNA from 1 species